AGAACAACAGUUAUCAGUAACCUUGGUUGCGAUUUCGGUCACAGUAGAUAAAUAUAAAUAAUCGAACCAAACGAUUUUCUAUUUUGUGUGAAAAAAAAUGCUUCUUAUUACGAGCAGAGUAGAGCCCACUCAAAUCGUUGGGGAUAAGGAUAAUCCAUCGAUUUAUUAGUCAAAUUCCAACCAAAUGGAAUCGCUCUUUAAGUAUUUCUCCCUGCCGCUCGAGUUUAUGGAGUGCUAUGAAUCGGCCAAUCGCAUAGGUAACAAAAAGAAACUAGGGAACGGAUAUUAGCGGCCCUUACACGAGCAUUAAAAAUGUCAUUACUGAAUUAUUAAUGAACGUGUAAUGGUGCAGUAAUGACGAGAUUUCAAACAAAUUUGAAAUACAUCAUUACUUAGUUACAUUAAAACUGACAUUUUUAAUGCUCGUGUAAGGGCCGCUAUUAAGUGCACAGCAUUCUGUUGGGAUUCAAGGUGUCCAAAGCGGAACAGUCGUAGGGAAUCUACUAGCGCUGGGAGAUGUCGGAAUCUGAUGGAUUGUCGAUACCGUGUUGCAAAUAAUAAACAAUCUGUAAUAAACAAAUUUGGGGAAAAUUAGAGCGACAGCGGAGAGUACGCUUGCGUCUUUCGAAAUAUACGGCAAAUAAGAAAUUGCUAUUGAAAUUUCAUAUUGAGACAUUAAUUUUUUUUCAUUUGCAAACAAUAAAUAACAUGUAAUAAUAAACUGCUAUUCCCACUGAUUCAUUCGUUAACGUUUAUUACGCUAUAAAAACAUUUUUAUAGGCUAUUGUAGCAACACUAAUAGUUACUUCAACAUCUUCCAUCAAUAUCAAUAUUCCAGUGUCAAAACUGGAUUCUAACGACGAACUCUAUUGAACCAAAAAAAUGCUGUAUUUCGAUCGAAUCGAAUUUUGUCGAACGAAUAUAAAACUUUGCAUUCUGUAAAACGCUCGAGUGAUGCUUUUGUAUGGAAAACUCGAGCUACAGAAUGCAAAAUUUCGUAUUCGAUCGAAACAAUCCGAUUCGACCGAAAUACAGAAUCGGGGUGAUUAUUUUGGAUAUAUAUCACGUGAAAAAAUGGCCCAAAUGUGCAAAUAUUUGAUACUUUAAAAGACGAAAAGAGCGCUUUGGUAAAAUAUAUGGCUUCGUUUUCCGUUUUCUCCUCUGCUGGAACAAAUCAAAACAUACAUACGUCUUCAUCUACAGCGGCCCCAACCUGCUCCAUUUUCGUUCAAAUACGUUUCCAAUAAAAAUGCGGAAAUAAACAAAAAUUUUCAAAGCGUUCUCAAAAAGCGGAAGGCGGACGGAUUUUUCCCAAUGACGGAUCAACAAGUAGCGGCACCCUUUAUUCGUUGGGUAGAACCAAGUAACAACGCAUUAAUGGAACAUAUGGCGUCAAGACGAAACGAUGACCCGCAUGUUGUAUGUGUUGGUCAAACAUAUAAAACUGGAUGUUACUAUGUGAUUAUUUGCAAGGAAAUCUGUAUUGCGGUGACGAAUUCAAUACACGCGAUAUAAGAAUAUCAUAAAAUCCUUUAAAGUGUUCGGAAUACGCGUGCCCACGAAUUAAUCCAUGAUGGUGGAUUUUUUAAAAUGCGUGCUAUAUAAAUCACACAUCACGAGAGCCACCGUGAAUAGUCUUGCGGCAGCGUUCAAAGAAACUUCCAGUGCAGAAGAAUUGUCUUAAGUUCAAGUUUCGUUCAUUUCUGAUAAACGAACAAAAAUAAUGAAAACAUAAACAGUAACCCUUGACUACAAUAAACGAUUCCAUUGUACAAAGCUACACCAAACUUCUGAUGAGUGCUACACCAGUGGUAUCGGUGCAGAAAAAGUGUAGCACUGGUGUAGUGCAAUUGGUAAAAACGAACGGUUUUAGUGCAGCUUUCGCUACACGUACACGUAUUUCGUAUCGUAAAUCGAGCUACCCCUCAGUAACUGGUAAUGUCAAAAUGGAAUCGCUUGAAAAAAUGUUGGAACUGGCAACAUAAGUUGGAAAAUUAUUGAUUUUGAAAAACAGUUACCAGUAGCCUUGGUAACCACAAAAAAAAUGUAAACAAAAACAAGAGAUUCUCACUAAAAACGAAACCACUGAGUGUAGUUGGCCACUGGCA